rnacentral:rRNA from 1 species
GAUGAACGCUAGCGGCAGGCUUAACACAUGCAAGUCGAGGGGUAUUGGUUUUCGGACCAAGAGACCGGCGCACGGGUGCGUAACGCGUAUGCAAUCUACCUUUUGCAGAGGGAUAGCCCCAGAGAAAUUUGGAUUAGUACCUCAUAGUAUAGUACUUUGGCAUCAAGGAACUAUUAAAGUCACAACGGCAAAGAUGAGCAUGCGUCCCAUUAGCUAGUUGGUAAGGUAACGGCUUACCAAGGCUACGAUGGGUAGGGGUCCUGAGAGGGAGAUCCCCCCACACUGGUACUGAGACACGGACCAGACUCCUACGGGAGGCAGCAGUGAGGAAUAUUGGACAAUGGGGCGCAAGCCUGAUCCAGCCAUGCCGCGUGCAGGAAGACGGUCCUAUGGAUUGUAAACUGCUUUUGUACAGGAAGAAACACUACUUACGUGAAGUAGCUUGACGGUACUGUAAGAAUAAGGAUCGGCUAACUCCGUGCCAGCAGCC